rnacentral:lncRNA from 1 species
UGUUGCUCGCUGAGCAUCGUGCUGCCAAGAAAACGCCGGUGAUGGAUGCUGCCGCCACUCCUUCCCCCUCCCCUCGCCCUUAAAACCGGCAGCACCGUGCCUGCGCCUGGCCCCGCCGCACCGGGGUCCGCACGGGAUGAGAGCCCGCUCGCUCCCGGGGAGCCUUCGGCGGUGGGGUUGGGCUGAGCGGCUCCUCUUCCUCGCCGGGCACGGGGUGGCCCUGGCACCUCGACCUCAUCCUCCCCAGCACGGAGCAGCGGGAGAGCGUGGCACCACACGAGCUCCGUCCCUAGACCCGUGCGGAGGGAGCUGCCGUUGUGCCGUGGGACGUUGAGCCGCCGCGCCGAGAGGAGAGGUGAGAGGCUGGGACCCACCACCGGGUGCCUGGCAUCGGUGGGGCACCUGGUGGGCUGCAAUGAUGGAUUUUCAGUCUGAUUUGCUGAGUGCUCGGGAGAAAAAAUAGAGAAGAGCCAUAAUAUUUUGCAGAUUGGAAGGUCUCAAAGCUGUUAAUGAGCUGUUAAUAAGCAUUGGCCUAGUUUUUCCCCUGGAAGUAGGCGGAUAAUAGACAUUUUUUUUUAGGAUGAGGCUACAGCCACAUCCUGGUGGAGACAAGGGACUGAAUCAUGUCCUGUGGCGCAGGGAGCUGAUGUCUCUUGGUCAGGGGGUGGAAACCCAGUGAGGAGCCACGGGAGCAUCUUCCUCCAGGGCCAGCGACGGGGUCCCCACAGGAUCCCCUGUGCCCGUGUGCUCUGUCCCCUCUCUCCAUGGCCCCUUGUGCCUGUGCGUGCUGGGGCGAGGGCAGCGUCCCUCCCAUGGGCUGUGCUCACUGUGAUUAACACCAUGUGUUUGCUCAGCAGAAACACACACAGAAACAUCACAGAAUCACAGAAUUGUCUAGGUUGGAAAGGACCUUGAAGAUCAUCUAGUCCAACCAUUAACCCAGCAUUGGCAGUUCCCAACUACACCAGAUCCCUCAGCUCUAUGUCAACCCUACUCUUAAACACCUCAAGGGAUGGGGACUCCCCCCCUGCCCUGGGCAGCUUAUUCCAAUGCCUAAUAACCCGUUCUGUAAAGAAAUCCUUCCUAAUAUCUAGUUUAAACCUUCCCUGGUGCAACUUGAGGCCGGGACUAACCAGG